CUUCACCGAGCCCAGCCACAACGGCUCGUCCCGACCCUGCCCAUACGUCGCCAGCACCGCGUUGGCCUC
rnacentral:antisense_RNA from 1 species